CAGAGGAUCAGGCCCAGGAUAUCCAGCGGAGCCUAGAGAGAGUGCUGGAGACACAGGAGCAGUGGGGGCCCAGGUUGGAACAGGGGCUCAGGGAGCUGUGGGACUCUGUCCUUCGUGCGUCCUGCCUUCUGCCGGAGCUGCUGUCUGCCCUGCACCGCCUGGCUGGCCUGCAGGCUGCCCUCUGGUUGAGCGCUGACCGUCUUGGGGACCUGGCCUUGUUGCUAGAGACCCUGAAUGGCAGCCAGGUAAUAGGGAAAGUGACCUGAAGCUGAGGGUCUCCUUCUUCCUUCCUCCUCCUUUCUCUCCAGCUGCAGUAGCAUCAUCAUGUACUGGACAGGCAGCUGGGUUGGUGGUCGGAAAACCUGGAUUCUCUCUGGGACUCUUGGGU
rnacentral:sRNA from 1 species